rnacentral:rRNA from 1 species
UACGUAGGGUGCGAGCGUUGUCCGGAAUUAUUGGGCGUAAAGAGCUCGUAGGCGGUCUGUCGCGUCGAUCGUGAAAACUUGGGGCUUAACCCUGAGCUUGCGGUCGAUACGGGCAUGACUGGAGUUCGGCAGGGGAGACUGGAAUUCCUGGUGUAGCGGUGAAAUGCGCAGAUAUCAGGAGGAACACCGGUGGCGAAGGCGGCACUCUGGGCCGGUACUGACGCUGAGGAGCGAAAGCGUGGGGAGCGAACAGG